AGACCGGGGUUCGAUUCCCCACCGGAGAGC
rnacentral:sRNA from 1 species